rnacentral:misc_RNA from 1 species
AAGUCGUAACAAGGUUUCCGUAGGUGAACCUGCGGAAGGAUCAUUAACACGUAUCCAACGUUAAACCCCCCUGUGAAUUUUAUCGCUGCUCUUGCAGACGCCGGCAAGUUUGCAAUCCCUGGUAAAUCAUUGUAACAGAUUUUGAUUCAGGGACCUGUAACCCCGGUAGAUCUAUAGCUGCAAUUUGAGCGCCUUGUCCUUAACUCGGGUCGCAGGAAACGCUUUCAACCGAACAACUGUUAACAAUGGAUAUCUUGGUUCUC